AUUGAACGCUGGCGGCAGGCCUAACACAUGCAAGUCGAGCGCACGGAGGAAGGGUGUGGACUGUUUGGGAAACUGCGUGAUGGAGGGGGAUAACUACUGGAAACGGUAGCUAAUACCGCAUACCAUCAGUUGUGCCUAGAUGGGAUCUGCUAGCAGGUGAGGUAAAGGCUCACCUAGUCGACGAUCUCUAGCUGGUCUGAGAGGAUGACCAGCCACACUGGAACUGAGACACGGUCCAGACUCCUACGGGAGGCAGCAGUGGGGAAUAUUGCACAAUGGGCGCAAGCCUGAUGCAGCAAUGCCGCGUGUGUGAAGAAGGCCUUCGGGUUGUAAAGCACUUUCAGCGGGGAGGCGUUACCCGCAGAAGAAGCACCGGCUAACUCCGUGCCAGCAGCCGCGGUAAUUC
rnacentral:rRNA from 1 species